rnacentral:rRNA from 1 species
AUUGAACGCUGGCGGCAGGCCUAACACAUGCAAGUCGAGCGAGCCGCGCACGGGAGAGUAAUGUAUGGGGACUGCCCGAUAGGGGGGGAUAACCACUGGAAACGGUGGCUAAUACCGCAUACUAUCGGAUAACCCAUAGUGGAUUAGCUAGUAGGUGGGGUAAGGGCUCACCUAGGCGACGAUCUCUAGCUGGUCUGAGAGGAUGCUCAGCCACACUGGGACUGAGACACGGCCCAGACUCCUACGGAGGCAGCAGUGGGGAAUGUUGGACAAUGGGGGAAAGCCUGAUCCAGCCAUGCCGCGUGUAUGAUGAAGGCCUUAGGGUUGUAAAGUACUUUCGGCAGAGAAGCGGUAUCCGCAGAAGAAGCACCGGCUAACUCCGUGCCAGCCGCCGCGGUAAUUC